UCACUAAUCACCAAGAACCAAGUGGGUACAACAAGUUCUCCUCUCUAGUAAACACUAGAGGCAAAUACAAUCAUCAAGGAGCAACCUUGGCACAACAACAAGCUACAAACUUCACCAAAGGUGGAAAAACACACCAAAAACGUAGGUAUGAAGAUGCUGCCAGAAAACUACCUUCCGGGCGUCAAAACUAGAAACUGACCAUUGAAUAUGAAGAGGAGAAUGUCACGAACAACAAACUAAAAUUUCAGGACGAUCGGACUCCGUUUGACCUUCGAUCCGGGCACAAAACCAGCUUGCUGGGCAAAGGCUCGAAAAUGAGCUCUCACUUUUUCUUCUUUUUUUUUUUCUGCAGUUGUUCACUGCCAAUCUCACCCUAUAUCUUAUCUUCUCAUCUUCUUUUCUUUUAAUUAUCCACAUAGGCAUAAAUGGACUAACCAAAGAAAGACACAACAAUUGGGCCAAAAGCAUUGAACAUAAAGAGCCCAAGAAAGAGAAAAUAAAAAUAUAAAGUGUUGUCCAACAAAAAUUGGACUCAUCCUCCAUGUGGGAGGGAUAUUUACCAACAAAUCUCCCCCUCACUCCUACAUGGAGUGCUCAAACAAACCUGUCUUCUCUCGACAUAGCACAAGCUUCUCUUUAGGCAAAGUUUUAGUCAUCAUAUCCGAACAAUUCUCACUUGUGUGAAUCUUGAUGAGCUCAAAUGACUUGUCUUCUAUAGCUUCUCGAAUCCAAUGAUAUCUCCUCUUAAUGUGUUUGGUUCGAGAGUGGAAAGUGGCAUUCUUAGCAAGGUGGAUGGCACUCUGAGAAUCACAAUGAAGAAGAUAAUUUCCUUGAUCCAAACCAAGCUCCUCAAGGAAAUUCCUCAUCCAUAACAACUCCUUGCCUGCCUCAACAGCUGCUAUAUACUCUGCCUCAGUAGUGGACAAAGCAACACACUUUUGCAAUCUUGAUUGCCAUGAAACUGCAGCUCCUCCAAACGUCAUCAAGUACCCCGAGGUGGACUUUGCAGUAUCAACAUGACCGGACAUAUCUGAAUCUGUAAACCCAUCUAACAUAGGCUGCCCAUUACCAAAACAUAAACAAACACUGGAGGUGCCUGUAAGAUAUCUGAGGAUCUAUUUUACCGCUGCCCUGUGCUCUUUACCCGGAUUCGACAUGUAACGUCUAACAACCCCAACAGAAUAAGCAAUAUCCGGCCUCGUACAUACCAUGGCAUACAUCAAACUACCCACGGCUGAAGCGUAAGUCACCUUCUUCAUCUCUUGCUUAUCUUUCUCACUUGUGGGACACUGGUAGAUACUCAACUUCAUGUGGCCUGCAAGUGGAGAACUCACCGGUUUAGCCUUCCUCAUGUUGAAUCUGUCAAGCACUUUCUCAAUGUACUUCUCCUGUGAUAGCCAAAGCUUUUUGUUCUUUCUAUCACGAGUGAUCCUCAUAGAUAGAAUCUCUCUGGCGGAGCCUAAAUCCUUCAUUGCAAAGGACUUACUCAAUGACUUCUUCAAGCUAGCAAUCUUCUUGGUAUCCUGACCAACAAUCAACAUAUCAUCUACAUAUAAAAGGAGAAUGAGAAAAUCACCUUCGGAGUAGUUCUUCACAAAGACGCAAUGAUCAGAAUGUGUUUUGUGGAAGUCGUGAUCAAUCAUAAAAGACUCAAAUUUCUUGUACCACUGCCGAGGUGCUUGUUUCAAGCCAUACAAACUCUUCUUCAAACAACAUACUAAGUUCUCCUUUCCCUUAACCUGAAAGCCUUCAGGUUGCUCCAUGUAGAUCUCCUCAUCAAGGUCACCAUGAAGAAAUGUUGUUUUCACAUCAAGCUGCUCAAUCUCCAAGUCCAUGCUAGCAGCUAAACCAAGUACAACUUGAAUAGAGGACAUCUUCACAACUGGAGAAAAUAUCUCAUCAAAAUUUAUGCCCUUCUUCUGACUGAAACCCUUCACAACCAACCUUGCCUUGUACCUUGGUUGUGAGCUAGUGUCAUCACACUUCAAUCUGUAUACCCACUUGUUCUUGAGUGCUCUUUUGCCCUUGGGCAACUCCAUAAGCUCAAAUGUGUGGUUCUCAUGCAAGGAUUUCAUCUCAUCUUGCAUGGCAUCGUACCACUUCUCCCGGUGCACAUGUGACAUAGCCUCAUCAUAAGUCUCUGGCUCUCCCCCAUCAGUCACUAACACAUAUUCAUUAUUUGGAAAUCUAGUGGAAGGUUUAAUCGCUCUGGUGGACUUUCUCAACUGAGGUGGCGGUGAAGGAUCUGACUGUGGUUGUGCCUCCUCUGUCUGUACUGGCACAUCAUCAUUAUCAUCACCAUUAUGACCAUCAUCAUCAAGGGUAUCAUUGGCAUGAUCGUGCAUAUCUCCCCCAUGAUCCUGAGGGACAACAACACGCGGAAGAGAUGGUGUCGGGUCAACUGUAAUGCACGGAGAAGGAUUUGCUUUCUUCUUCUCACAAUCUUCAAUGGUUUGAUCUUCAAAGAACACAACAUCUCUGCUUCUGACCACUUUCCUAUCACGUGGAUCCCAUAAUCUGUACCCAAACUCAUCCUCUGAAUAUCCAAGGAAAAUGCACUCCUUGGUCUUCUUAUCAAGCUUGGAUCUCUCAUUUAUAGGAACAUGAACAAAUGCUCUGCAACCAAAGACUCUCAAAUGCUUAUAGGAGACAUAUUUCACGGUCCAAACUCUCUGAGGAACAUCACCUUCAAGAGGCACUGAAGGAGAAUGAUUGAUCAAGUACACUGCUGUGAACAUUGCCUCUGCCCAAAAGGACUUUGGCAGCUUAGCAUGAGAUAGCAUACAUCGGAUUCUCUCUUCGAUGGUUCUGUUCAUUCUCUCUGCAACUCCAUUAAGCUGAGGUGUCUUCGGAACUGUUUUCUCAAGCUUGAUACCCUGACUCUUGCAAUAAUUCUCAAAAGGACCCCUGUACUCUCCACCAUUAUCUGAUCUGACACACUUGAGUUUCCUGUCGCUUUCUCUUUCAACUCUGACAUGAAACUCCUUGAAUGCAUCAAGUACCUGGUCUUUACUUUUCAAAACAAAAGCCCACAAUUUUCUAGAAUAAUCAUCAAUAAAUGUUACAAAAUAUUGUGCACCACGGUGAGAUUUAGCAUCCAUAGAACAUACAUCAGUGUGAACAAGAUCUAAGGCAUGCUUUCUUCUAAAUGGGGGGCGUGAGCGAAAUGCAACUCUAUGUUGCUUUCCAUCUAAACAAUCAACACAAGAGUGUAAAGGCAUACCUGAAAAAUUGGGAAGAUAAUCUUUCUUGGAAAGAAUCUGCAAACCUUUUUCACCCAUGUGCCCAAGUCUAUUAUGCCACAGGUCACUGGAGGCAUCACCUGCAACAUUGACAUCUCCGUUGCAUACUCUUGCUUGCAUUACAUAAAGUGAUCUCUGUUUCUUGCCUCGAGCUACAAUCAAACUGCCCUUGGAGAGCUUCCAUUUUCCAUCACAAAAUUUGUUGGCAUAACCCUGAUCAUCAAGCAAACCAGCUGAAAUCAAACUCAAUCUGAUAUCUGGGACGUGCCUCACAUCCCUGAGCACCAACCUGCAACCCGUGGAAGUCUCUAAACAAACAGAACCCGCACCGAUGAUCUUAGAUGAACCAUCAUUUCCCAUCCUCACAUAACCAAAAUCACCACUAGUGUAGGAUAAAAAGUACUCCCUGUGUGAAGUAAUAUGAUAAGAGGCACCAGAAUCAAUUACCCAGGUGCAAUCAUCAUAAGCUAUGUUCAAUAAUCCAUGAUCACUGAUAAUGAACAAAUCAUCAUCACUAAAUGCUAAAGCUGUAGUGUUCUUUUUAUCUGACUUUUGCUCGGAGUUCUCAUUUUUCUCUUUUCUCUCCCUGGACAUUUCCUCUUUUUCUUUCUGCAAAAUCUCUCGAUAUGGCCUGGCUUUUGACAGUAAUGGCAAGUGAAAUCUCUUCUUCUUGAAUUGGAUCUCCUUUCGACUUGUCUCUAUUUUGAGGAUUUCUGCUCUUGCUUCUCCCCCUGCUGGAUUCUGGAAUAACAUUUGCUUCAACUUGACUAGAGAAACCUGAUUCUUUUCUUCUAGAUUCCUCAUUAAGAAGACUAGUUGUGACCAUAUCCAUGGUCAUCUUGCCAUCCGGAGCAGAAUUGCUAAGUGAAACUACCAAGGUAUCCCAACUGUCGGGCAAUGAGGAAAGUAACAACAAAGCUUGAAGUUCAUCCUCCAAUUUCAUCUUCAUUCCGGCUAGUUGGUUCACCACACCUUGAAACUCAUUCAUGUGCACUACAAUACUAUUACCAUCCUUGUAUUGUAGUUUAACAAGUCUUCUGAUCAAAGAUGCUUUUCCCAUGGCAUUAUUCCUCUCGUACAUGGUUUCAAGUUUCUUCCACAUUUCAAAAGCAUUAGUUUCAUUAGCAACAUGUUGCAACACACUCAACGAAACAUAUUGUCUGAUGGAGGCAACAGCUUUCCGGUUCAAGCUAGUCCAAUCUUUCUCAGCAACACCUGUUGGACGAUUUUUAUACAAAAUCGGAUCAAGCAAGUCUUUAGAACACAAAUAAUCCUCUAUGCGAAUUUUCCAUAUAGAAUAAUUCAUAGAGUCCAAACUGACCAUUCCCUGCACAACUACCUUGUCAUCCAUCGUUAGCAAUACAAUAACAACCAACCAAAAAAUAACCUGGCUCUGAUACCAUUUUGUUGGUGAAACACAGACAAAGCAACACAGAAGCGGAAUAAAUCUUUUCCCCAAAUUGUCAAAAUAGCCGACAAGGCUCAACACACAAUAGAAAAUCAGCAGUAACAAGCACAAAUAAAUAGCAGCAUGAUAAGUAAAGAACACACGAUAUACGUGGAAACCCCAAAUCGGGGAGAAUACCACGGGACCGCUCAACAACGGUACCAAAACUUUCACUAAUCACCAAGAACCAAGUGGGUACAACAAGUUCUCCUCUCUAGUAAACACUAGAGGCAAAUACAAUCAUCAAGGAGCAACCUUGGCACAACAACAAGCUACAAACUUCACCAAAGGUGGAAAAACACACCAAAAACGCAGGUAUGAAGAUGCUGCCAGAAAACUACCUUCCGGGCGUCAAAACUAGAAACCGACCAUUGAAUAUGAAGAGGAGAAUGUCACGAACAACAAACUAAAAUUUCAGGACGAUCGGACUCCGUUUG
rnacentral:lncRNA from 1 species